UGGGGAAUUUUUCGCAAUGGGGGCAACCCUGACGAAGCAACGCCGCGUGGGUGAUGAAGUAUCUCGGUACGUAAAACCCUUUCGACGGGGAAGAAACCGCAAGGUUGACGGUACCCGUAGAAGAAGCCCCGGCUAACUCCGUGCCAGCAGCCGCGGUAAUACGGGGGGGGCAAGCGUUGUUCGGAAUUACUGGGCGUAAAGGGUGCGUAGGCGGUCCGCUAAGUUGGAUGUGAAAACUCUGGGCUUAACCCAGAGCCUGCAUUCAAAACUGACGGGCUAGAGUUCUGGAGGGGGUAGCGGAAUUCCUGGUGUAGCGGUGAAAUGCGUAGAUAUCAGGAGGAACACCGGUGGCGAAGGCGGCUACCUGGACAGAAACUGACGCUGAGGCACGAAAGCUAGGGGAGCAAACAGGAUUAGAUACCCCCGUAGUCC
rnacentral:rRNA from 1 species